UCUUUAAUGGAGAGUUUGAUCCUGGCUCAGGACGAACGCUGGCGGCGUGCCUAAUACAUGCAAGU
rnacentral:rRNA from 3 species